CGGAUACAUACAUCCCCUUCCGGGAAAUUCUUUUUCCUGCCUUACGCAAAAUGAACGUAUUUCAUCCUCGUAGUUUUCUACAUUAUUCAGUUUAAUACGACGCUCAAAUAUCGUGCUUACUUCUCCGCUAAAACAUAGUAGACGUUUUUAUAGUAUACCGUAGUUCAAGAAGAAAAAAUGUUCGGAAAAUUGCACUUUGAAAAUUUCGCGAGAUUACGUUUAAAUUGUGGCGUGGCGUGCGCGGUUCGGGUGCGUAGGUAAAAUGAUUCGCACGUUUCGAUUACACCACGUUACAUACAAUUAUAGUGUUUCUGUGCGGUUUACCAUUUCAUUACCAUUUAGCGAGGUACAUAUUAAGCUGAUGGGUACGAGUAUACCUGAGAUACCACAUAUUCGCAGACCUUUGUUAAAAUCGUCAAAACAACUCAAUCAUCAGCUAUGACGCAUUGCUGAUUUUCACAAAUAAACAGCACCAAAUUGUUUUCCUUUUUUCGUCUUCAGUAAAAAAAUAAUAUAGCAACAAAUAUGUUGGAAAUCUUUGACCAAAAGAAAAAUCAUUAUUUUGGUCGACACCUUGAGCACAAUAAACUCCUCAAAGUUUCUACGCAAGUAUAAUUCUAAUCAUUUAACCCUUUCAUCUGGAACUCGACAUAAACGACGAACAAUCCAUAUCCAAUUUGUUCGUCAUCGCAGACGUGCACCAGAGUAAAAAAAAAAAACAUCCGAAACAAUGGCCCUAAAAAAUAUAAUGACUUCCACGAAUCCGUAGCCAUCUUUCUAUGACUUAUCCACCCUUGGACAUUCACAUUUUCACAUGACCAGCUCAACGGUUUAUUACGGUAUUCUCGAGAUCAGCGAAUAGGUAAAGAAGGGGGAGACGGAGAGAAAAUCAUUGUAGCGCGAUGCAGUGUUGAAUCAUUGUAUAUCUAGAUAGACACUGUACAAAGGUGUGCUAUAAAUCCUAUUCCAAUGAGUAUAGAAUUAUUCCACAUAGGGAGGAGGUUUUUAGGAUUUUUUUAAUAUUUGAUUCACCGUUUCCACCAUAUUGGAUUCCGUAUGUGUAACAUCGCGUAUAUCCGGUCCGCCUCGGCCACGGAUAAACGCACAACAACAGGAUAUCGUCCGGCGUGGUGGAUAUUACAGAUAAACACGUAGAAUGGGCGUCCCUGCUCAGUACCUGGACUCUAGGGUACCUAUCUUAAAUUUUUUUAGUGUUUUUUACUACACCUAGCACUAUACAUAUUAUACGUGUACAUUUGGCGACCUAAAACCUUAUAAUCAAAUUAUACACAGCAGCACAGUAUUGAUCAGUUACGGUUAUCCUGAUGGAAGAAUGUGGCUCAUCAUUACCAUUUGUACGUUCUACUCGACGAUUUCGAAAUCUGCACGGAAGUUGGCGUGACAUUGUAAGAAUUAGGUAUACUUUGAAUAAAAAUUGGUACUUACCUUUUUGUAAAAUUUCUAAAUGUUCCCAUAAAAUAUCACCCAUAAACGGAGGAGCUCUGGCAAGGAAUGCUUCUUUACCCAUGGCGCACAUGUCUUUACCUCUCAUAUAAAAUUGAUUCAUAGGAACA